ACUCUCGGCAACGGAUAUCUCGGCUCACGCAUCGAUGAAGAACGUAGCAAAAUGCGAUACUUGGUGUGAAUUGCAGAAUCCCGUGAACCAUCGAGUCUUUGAACGCAAGUUGCGCCCAAAGCCAUUUGGUUGAGGGCACGUCUGCCUGGGCCUCACGCAUSSUGUCGC
rnacentral:rRNA from 1 species